UACAGAGGUGGCAAGCGUUGUUCGGAAUUACUGGGCGUAAAGGGCGCGUAGGCGGCUUGGUCAGUCCCGUGUGAAAUCCCUCGGCUCAACUGAGGAACUGCACGGGAAACUGCCUGGCUUGAGUUCGGGAGAGGGAAGCGGAAUUCCGGGUGUAGCGGUGAAAUGCGUAGAUAUCCGGAGGAACACCGGUGGCGAAGGCGGAUCUCUGGGCCUUACCUGACGCUGAGGCGCGAAAGCGUGGGUAGCAAACAGG
rnacentral:rRNA from 1 species